AUUGAACGCUGGCGGCAGGCUUAACACAUGCAAGUCGAGCGGGGUGAUGGUGCUUGCACUAUCACUUAGCGGCGGACGGGUGAGUAAUGCUUAGGAAUCUGCCUAUUAGUGGGGGACAACAUCUCGAAAGGGAUGCUAAUACCGCAUACGUCCUACGGGAGAAAGCAGGGGAUCACUUGUGACCUUGCGCUAAUAGAUGAGCCUAAGUCGGAUUAGCUAGUUGGUGGGGUAAAGGCCUACCAAGGCGACGAUCUGUAGCGGGUCUGAGAGGAUGAUCCGCCACACUGGGACGGGGACACGGCCCAGACUCCUACGGGAGGCAGCAGCGGGGAAUAUUGGACAAUGGGGGGAACCCUGAUCCAGCCAUGCCGCGUGUGUGAAGAAGGCCUUAUGGUUGUAAAGCACUUUAAGCGAGGAGGAGGCUCUUUUGGUUAAUACCCAAGAUGAGUGGACGUUACUCGCAGAAUAAGCACCGGCUAACUCUGUGCCAGCAGCCGCAGUAA
rnacentral:rRNA from 1 species